rnacentral:tRNA from 2 species
GGGCCCGUAGCUCAGUUGGCUAGAGCAUCUGACUUUUAAUCAGGAGGUCUUGGGUUCGAUUCCCAACGGGCUCACCA